rnacentral:rRNA from 1 species
GAUGAACGCUAGCGGCAGGCUUAAUACAUGCAAGUCGAGGGGCAGCAUGAAUGUAGCAAUACAUUUGAUGGCGACCGGCAAACGGGUGCGGAACACGUACACAACCUUCCUAUAAGUGGGGAAUAGCCCAGAGAAAUUUGGAUUAAUACCCCGUAACAUAAUGAUGUGGCAUCACAUUAUUAUUAUAGCUACGGCGCUUAUUGAUGGGUGUGCGGCUGAUUAGAUAGUUGGCGGGGUAACGGCCCACCAAGUCUACGAUCAGUAGCUGAUGUGAGAGCAUGAUCAGCCACACGGGCACUGAGACACGGGCCCGACUCCUACGGGAGGCAGCAGUAAGGAUAUUGGUCAAUGGACGCAAGUCUGAACCAGCCAUGCCGCGUGAAGGAUUAAGGUCCUCUGGAUUGUAAACUUCUUUUAUCUGGGACGAAAAAGGCGAUUCUUCGUCACUUGACGGUACCAGAUGAAUAAGCACCGGCUAACUCCGUGCCAG